AACCCAUGUUGAGGGCAUUUUUGUAGGAGUUCCUUGAACCUUUCCCGUGUAUCAAAUAGAGACUCCAAUUCCAUUUGCAUAAAAGACAAGAUCUUAUUACUAAGCUU